rnacentral:hammerhead_ribozyme from 1 species
AAGCGAAACCGUCCCGGCUUGCUGGGGGCGGUCUGCCAGGCGUGGUUGCCUGGUACUGAUGAGCAGCCGAGG